UAAAGAGUUACUUAUCCAUUACUUAAAUCUUUUGAUCACUUGGAUUAGGACUGAUAACUCCCUCCAAUGUAGAACUGUUAUUCUGGAGAAAAAAAAAUCUCUACUUUAAAGCUUUCUGGAAUGUCUUGUUAUUCCUUCCCCAUGUAAAGCAGGAACUGAAAACUGACAUUAUAGCACAUCCUAUCUUCUUCUUAAGAGUGGAAAUCUAACCCACCACUUCAGGAAGAAGAAUGGGAGAUGGUUGUCUUUAAAGGUUCAAAAAAAAAAAAUCAACCUUCCUCCCCUGUACUCUAUCCUCGCUUCUGUCACAGACCUUAGGGGUCACCUUUCAGUAUCAGCUAAGAUUUGUACAGCUAUAAACACUUGAAGAGAAGGACACAUCUGACAUGUUUUGUGCUGUUCUAGAUGUUCAUCAUUUUAGAGCCCAGUUUACUGGAAAGACAGGACCACGGAGUCAACUCCUUGGAGGUCUUAAACCUUCUACAGCCAUAUAAUGUCCUGAAAAAUCCCCUAGGUCCUGACAGCCCCGAACUGGGCAGCCAUAAUGUGGUGUGUUCUCCCUGGCUUCAUUUGGGUCUGAGUCUUGUCCUGCAGUCCAUGUCUUGACAUGUCAAAGAGAUGAGUGCAAAGUGACCUCAGGGGCUCAGGGCAUGAGCUCUAGGAAGAAGCUUGAUUAAGAAUUAUUUCCCAGAAAUAUUUUCUUGAGAUUAAGGAAAUAGCUCCAUUCUAAAACAUAAAAUUCAUUUUAAAAAGACAAAAACAAAAUUCAGUUUCAGCUCUUUGUAAUCUUUCUUCACACACACACACACACAUACACACACACACACUCACACACAGAGAGACAGAGGAAGCAAACAUAUGCGGGUGAGACAAAGAACUCAAAUAAUAACCCAGCUUUGAUCAAAAACUCUUUCUACAGUGUUCCCUGUGAAAAUGAUUUGUAAUCAAUGAGCCCUACCACAGUGCACUGAGGAGUAAUUACCGUACACGUGUUUUACUCAAAGCUGUGAUUAGAACAAGAUGUAAGAUCAGAGGGGCAUAAAAUGAAUAUAAGAGGGGAAAAUCUCAAAAGGAGCUAGAAUGUACAAGCUAUGGGGUAUUUAAUAAGCAUAAGGCUUAUUCCACAUAGCUAUGUUGGUACUUAUUCGUUUAUUUGGUAAUCAUUUCCUGGCUAUUUGGGGCAUGAUUGACAGGGUUAGCAGGGAUGCUAAGUUAACUUACCACAUGCUGCCCUUAUAUUUAAAAAUGGGGCAUGAACUGGCAUUUAGAGAUGUUCUGGUACCAAGUGGACUGGGUCCACCAGAAUUUCCUGCCACUGGUCACCAAAACUUUCUUAGGAACUUAGGAACCAGUGUUCAAGCAUGGACUGCCUGGCUCAGCCUACAAGCCCAAGCAGUACCUGAAUUUGCUUUUUAUUCAUCCAAGAUAGAACACCAACAUCCUCUUAAAGGUUAUAGAAAAUUUGGAAUAAUUCUGCCAGAGCCAGAAAAAAAAAAGAAACACUU